GGGCGUGUUUAUGGAUUCGACACACGCUUGACGAGCUUACUCAAGCAUAACGGAUUACCGCGUUAUAGGUUAAACUUAAAUUUAAAUGCAGAAGACAAUUCUGUUCUUGCUUACGCUGCGUAAGAACUCGCAGGAAGCAUGUCUUGGCUAAUUUCGUUGCCGAUUAGAUUCGAGGCAUCAACUUAGACAACGGACUACCCUAUCAUCAACAUGUGAGUGAUAUCGUAGUCUACUAUCACAUGUAAAACAUUAGAAUUUUUGUUAUUGGUUAUAUAAUGUUUUUAUUUUCAAAAAAUAACUAAUUAUGUAGAAAGGUAAGAGCGGAGCGUGCGGACGCGGGUUCAACUCCCGCCACGUCCACCA
rnacentral:tmRNA from 1 species